rnacentral:rRNA from 1 species
UACGUAGGGUGCAAGCGUUAAUCGGAAUUACUGGGCGUAAAGCGUGCGCAGGCGGUUAUAUAAGACAGUUGUGAAAUCCCCGGGCUCAACCUGGGAACUGCAUCUGUGACUGUAUAGCUAGAGUACGGUAGGAGGGGGAUGGAAUUCCGCGUGUAGCAGUGAAAUGCGUAGAUAUGCGGAGGAACACCGAUGGCGAAGGGCAAUCCCCUGGGCCUGCACUGACGCUCAUGCACGAAAGCGUGGGGAGCAAACAGGAUAGAUACCCAGU